rnacentral:tRNA from 1 species
GCCCCAGUGGCCAAGCGGUUACGGCAUCUGUCUUGUAAACAGAAGAUCACUCGUUCAAAUCGGGUCUGGGGCA